rnacentral:lncRNA from 1 species
GUUGAAACCUGAAACAAAACCAGAAAAAGCAACAGAGCACACGGUGUCGUUUUAGGGACUGGAAAUGAUAGUAGUUAGAAGAAGCUUCUCACCAUUAAAGCUCAAGAAACUCUUGCAACCUGUUUCUUUCUCCACCUAUACAUACACAAAACCUGUAUCUAAUUCCCUCUCUUUAGCUUCCCCAACCCAAAGUCCUCCUAAAACCCUAAACCCAUUGUUCUUCUUCAGACCCUUUUCCUCAGAAUCUCUAAAUAUUCAAUCUUUUCCAGUAAAACCCAUAUGCAGAGAUGGAAAUUACGAUGAUUCCUCCUCACAGGGCCUUCCCGUUUGUCCUGGCUGUGGUGUUCAAAUGCAAGAUUCUGACCCUAAACAACCUGGAUUCUUCGUUGUACCCACCCCUAAAACCCCCAAUUACAAGCUCCAUAUUCAUAAAAACCCAGUCUUUGAUGAGCCUGAAAUCUCUGAUUCCCUGAAGAAGGGCCUUUUGAAUGAGACGGUGGAACCUCAAGAUGUGGAAAAUCUCGAAAACCCAGAUCAGAAAUUGACUGAAAAGCCUCUAGUGUGUGCUAGAUGUCAUAACUUGAGGCAUUAUGGGAAGGUGAAGGACCCAAGUGUUGAAAAUUUGCUGCCUGAUUUUGAUUUUGAUCAUACUGUUGGGAGGAGGUUGAUAUCCAUUAGUGGGGCUAGGACUCUGGUUUUAAUGGUGGUUGAUGCAUCCGAUUUUGAUGGCUCGUUUCCUAGGAAAGUGGCUAAGUUAGUUUCUAAGACAAUUGAUGAGAAUUCGCGGUCAUGGAAGGAAGGGAAAUCUGGGAAUGUGCCUAGGAUAGUGUUGGUUGUGACAAAGAUUGAUCUUUUACCGAGCUCAUUGUCACCUACUAGGCUUGAGCACUGGGUCAGGACAAGGGCCAGGGAGAGUGGAGCAAGUAAGUUGACGAGUGUGCAUUUGGUCAGUGCAGUGAGGAACUGGGGAGUGAAGAAUUUGGUUGAUGAUGUGGUGGAGUUGGUAGGAUCAAGAGGGCACGUGUGGGCGAUUGGGGCGCAGAAUGCUGGAAAGAGUACUUUGAUUAAUGCAAUAGGGAAAUGUAUUGGAGGGAAGGUGAGUCAUUUGACUGAGGCACCUGUUCCUGGGACGACUUUGGGGAUUGUAAGGGUGGAAGGUAUGCUUCCUGGUAAUGCCAAAUUGUUUGAUACCCCGGGGCUUUUGCAUCCUCAUCAGAUUACAACUAGAUUGACUAGAGAGGAGCAGAAACUGGUGUGCAUGAGUAAGGAGUUGAAGCCAAGGACAUAUAGGAUCAAGGUCAGUCUGCCUUUGUUUUAGCAUUUGUAUGCUAAAUAACAUAUGAAGGAACGAGAAAAAGAAAUCAAAUUGUCGUAUAUCCUGUGAGCCUGUAAUUUCGAAAUUUUGUAGUAACAAAUUCAUUUGUAGGCUAUUAUACAUAUUGAUUUGUAUAUGCACAUACUUUCAUCACAUCUGUGUGCAGUUGCUGAUAGUGUUUUAUUCAACACCAGGACUCCUUGAACUAAAAGUCAACAUAAAUAGGAAAGUCUAUGUAUAAACAUGAGUUCUUGUUUUUCUCCCAUUUACUGAAAUAACUGUAGAGAAAUUUGGUAUUUUAUUGAAAAAGUUUCAUCACCAAAACUUAGUGGAAUAUUUAAUUGAGGAACUCUUGGCUGCCUAUCAUAUUACAUGGCUGAGCUAGUUUCUUACAAGAACUAUUACGUGCAUAAGCUAGAGGUUGCAUAGAGAAGGAUAGCACUAACACGAGAAGCAGCCCAAAAAAAAAAGCUUUUCUAAGGCGGGAAGCGUAUAACUGGGCUCUCUGCUGGUGCACUUCCUCUUUAUCUAUUUUUUUCACAUCAUACAUGUUGAAAAGCUCAUCUAUGGACUUGAGCUGCUAUUAAGUAUGUGUGAGAGUCAAAAAUUUGGAGAGGAAUUGAAGCACUUCUAGGUGGUGCUUGAAGGUGUCUUUGAAUGACUUUCGAUUCUGAAGAGUUAAAUUUCCAUGCAAUGAAGUUGUACAAUUAGGAAAACUCUAAGAAACAAAACAUGUCCUUAUUCCCAAUCAAAUGUUCAAAUCUUCCAGAACAUAUGUGCAUGAUACUGAAGAUUGGUUUACCAAUUUACGAGUUGGCAUAUGUCCUUGUUAAUAAUGAAUUUGCAUAUGGUAAAAGCAGUGUUCGUUUUCUGUCUCCUUUUUUUCUUUUCUUUUGUGAUGGUAGAAGAGGCAGGGGGAGAGGUUGGGUGAUGGGGGAGGUGCAUGGUGACCCCUUUUGUGCUUUCUGAAUUGAGUAAUCUUUACUGAUCAUAUACUUUCAUCAAUGAGAUGUGUUCUUCUUUGGAUAUCCAACUUUCUUCCUGUAUUUUGGGGCCUACAUGUGUUAUAUUUUGUGUCACAGGUUGGACAUUCCAUUCAUAUUGGUGGAUUGGUGAGGUUAGAUAUAGAAGAAUUGUCGACAGAUUCUCUUUAUGUUACAGUCUGGGCGUCCCCUCUUCUCCCACUUCACAUGGGGAGGACAGAGAAUGCUUCUACCAUGUUGGAAGAACAUUUUGGUCGCCAAUUACAGGUACAAUGUACAUUUUUUUUGGGGAGGGGGAUGGGGGAGAAUGCAGAUGGAUCAUAAAUUAGCCAAUGUUUGUCUUUUAGGAGAAUUUCAUUCAAGCUUUCCAUUGUUCUGUUUCGGCACUCAUAGCCAUGGUGUCUAUUGAUACACAAAGCAUGAUCUCAUCAACCAAUUUUUUAUGCUUCCUGCUUGUGGAAUUGAAAAUGAAGUUUGUAUUGGAAUCUUCAUAGUUCCAGGAAAGUUUUAGCUAAUGCAUCUCAAAAUUCAAGGUCUUGUAUGUGCUUAGGAUGAAGUAACCAUUGCUGCAUUUACCUAAUUAGGUAACUUUUAAAGUUUUAGACUUUCAGACUCUUCUGCUUUUGUGUUAUUAAGCGGAGCUUCCCGUCUAGAGGAGAAUGUUUUUAAGCUAGAAAGAGAUGUUGCAAUAAUUGUAAGUGUGGUUCAUUAGACAUCAGCUUUACGUAACCACUAAAUUAUGAAGUGAAAUUCGUCAUUUCUGUGUAUGAUGGAGGAAAUCAUCACAUUAUGGUUGCUGAAUACUUGAAAAUGAUUUAGACAUAGAUGUACUUUGCUGGUAGCAAAACAACUUGUCAACCUGAUUAGUCUCCUUAUACCUAAUAAAAAGACAUCAUGUGAUGUGAUUUGUAAUAUUUUGCAGUUUGUACCUCAUUAGUUUGUUUACUUUUUGCUCUGAUAAGCUUCUGAUCUUGCUUGAUGUUUCCUUCUUUCAUACUGAUUUGAAGGCUACGGUAAAAAUAUUCAUAACAGACAAUGUAAAAAAUCCUCAAUGAAAGCGUGGUUAAAAUUUUUUUAAAAAUUUUUCUUGACUUAAGAAAAUGUUCAUUCUACAGCCUGAUGAUCUGAAUUUUAGAAUGCUGCCUUAAGUUUACUAAUGAUUCUUGCAUGGUUGGGGUAGGAAUUGUCGGAGUUGUUUUUUUUCCCCCUUGAACUUUCUCUUAUGUAUUUGUCCACUACUGAGUGUCCUGUUGUAUAUGUUAAUGUCCUUAUCUCAGCCUCCUAUUGGAGAAGAACAAGUUGAGAAGCUUGGGAAAUGGGUGAGAAAGGAAUUUCAAGUGAGUGGAAACUGUUGGGAUACAAGUUGUGUUGAUAUUGCAGCUGCAGGUCUUGGUUGGUUUGCCAUUGGACUUAGAGGAGAGGCUUUGUUGGGUGUUUGGACAUAUGAUGGAGUUGACAUUGUUUCCCGCAAUGCUUUGCUUCCUCAGAGAUCACACAAUUUUGAAGUUGCGGGCUUCACAGUCUCAAAAAUUGUCUCCACAGCAGACCGAGCAUCCAAUAAAAAGCGCAAGGAUGAAAAGAAAAGAAAAGCAAGUGACUCCAUAGCUGUAGCUGCUGAUGCUCCUCCAGCAUUAACUGUGGACGCUGCUGCCAGUUCUUGUUGAGACUGCAACAUAAGCUACUGCAGAAAUAUGAAAAUUUUUGGUUACCUAAACAAUGAACGAGUAGAACAAUUGGCCGAUACAACCAAGAAAGAAUGCUGUAGAGCAGG